CUCCACGGUGGCAAGCCCUCAAGCCCUCUCCUUAGCUUUCGUCUGAUCUCUGAAGCUAAGCAGGGUCGGGCCCGGUUAGUACUUGGAUGGGAGACCACCUGGGAAUACCGGGUGCUGUAGGCU
rnacentral:rRNA from 1 species